UACAGAGUGUCUGAUGAUUUACAAUUGCAUCCAUUUCUAAUAGCUUUACGCAAUCAUUUAGUAUAUUGUCCCAGGACUCUCAAUAAGUAUAUAGUUAUGAGACAAUGUAAAUAGUUUUGAGGAAAAUGUAUGUAGAGGCCUUCACAAUAAGAACAUGUAUAGGACAAGAAUGAUGCAAGUGAUGUGUUUGAAAAGAGUGGAAAUCAAGCAUGCCAAAAGAACUUGAUUAGAACAUAUACCUAGAACUGUUAUCAAGAAAAAAAAAGCCACGGGAAAAUCGAGAGAAGUGAUAAAACUAUCUGAGAAAUAUGUACAAGAAAGGGUGAGAGAGAAUAAACAUCUCAAGAUUGUCUAAGACUUGUGUAUAU